UUUAUCUUCCUAAUUAUUUUAUAAAAUUACCUAAACUACCCCCAAACCCUAACACUACACUCAUCUCUCUCACCCAACCCCUUCAUCCUCGGUCACACACUCAACACACACAAAUUGAACCUAACCUAGAAGCAGCUAAGAAAGAAAGAAAAGAAGAAAGAAAGGGGAAGAGAGGAGGGGGGAUCCGUGAGAGGGAGAGCGCCGGGUAAGAGGGAGGAGCCGUCGCACCACCGCAGCGCUGCUCAGAACGCCACCUUGCCACCGCGACCAGUCGCUGCCGCGUCGCCGUGCUGCACAGAGGAGGGAGAAAGUGCGAAGAAUAGAGGGAAGAGAGAAGAAGAACACGCGCCAGGGAGCUCAGUUGCGGGGAGAGGAGACGUGUGGCUGACCCGUCGUUGCCGGUCCGUAUAGCUCGACCAGCUGCCGUCGCCGUCUCUGUCCUAAACCAUCGCCAGAUCCGCCGCUGUCACCGGGAAAGGGAGCCAAUGCAAGGAGAGCCGCGCGUGGAGGAGAGAGAGAGAGAGAUCCGAGAGUGAGCUGGUUCCUCCUCACUGCCGAUCUGUCCAGCCGCCGUCGUACCCUCCGUUGCCGCCGUUGGUGAUGGGUGGCCGAGCCUUCGCCACCGAGAAACGCCACCUCCGUUACCUACGACCACCGUCGUUGCUGCCGCUGCAAACCAGUCGCUGCUUCCGUAUGAGGUGGAUGCCGAGGCCGCCAAACUAGUUCAGAGAUUGCCGCUAUUUCGUCUUCGUAUUGCAAAUUAGAAAUCGAGUGUUGCAUGUCGCGAUUGAGGCUGUUCUGCUAUUGAGAAAGCAAGCGGAGCUGAGAUUUCGGUUGCGGUUGAAUUCAGGCUGAGCGAAAAGAGUUUAGUUGACACGUUUGGUUUAUGGUUUUGCUUAUCGAGGAACCGGAAGAAGAAGCAUUAAGAGGAGUUAUACUAUGUUUGAUUUAUAUAUUGUUGAAUUAAAUAGAUUAUUUUCUUCCCUCGCCUUUGUUAUUACAAUUUUGUAAGAGGGAUAGAAGUUGUAUGUUUUAUAUAUAUUAUAUUAUAAGAUAUUAUGUAAAAAGUCUUGUAUUUGAAUAUGUGUGUUUGUUUUUUAUAAAGUUUUUAUUUCCAGUUUUCAAAGAAA